UCGACAGGUAACAAACUCCGAGAUAAGCAGGUGGACAUUUUAUUCGAUGAUGUGGGAGAGCAUGGAGGAUUUAUCAACACUGCAGACUUUGUCAACAUGGUUAUGUCGAACUAGGCAAAGGAAAGUAAUCUCCGUCGUACAAAUAUCUGAAGCUUCUCUUUAACAUUUCAGCUCCAUAUGAUCGAUCUGUUAGCAAUCUAAUGGUGUCAAAAUGUACUUCUUUUCUGAUUUACUGCCCUAACGUGUUGGAUAGAGAAACAAAACGGUCACAAACAUGUCAAGUUAGCACUUGUUUGUUCAAUAAAGUGAUUGAAACUUUAAUUUUCAA